rnacentral:rRNA from 1 species
AGUGAACGCUGGCGGUAGGCCUAACACAUGCAAGUCGAACGGCAGCACAGUAAGAGCUUGCUCUUACGGGUGGCGAGUGGCGGACGGGUGAGGAAUACAUCGGAAUCUACUUUUUCGUGGGGGAUAACGUAGGGAAACUUACGCUAAUACCGCAUACGACCUACGGGUGAAAGCAGGGGAUCUUCGGACCUUGCGCGAUUGAAUGAGCCGAUGUCGGAUUAGCUAGUUGGCGGGAUAAAGGCCCACCAAGGCGACGAUCCGUAGCUGGUCUGAGAGGAUGAUCAGCCACACUGGAACUGAGACACGGUCCAGACUCCUACGGGAGGCAGCAGUGGGGAAUAUUGGACAAUGGGCGCAAGCCUGAUCCAGCCAUACCGCGUGGGUGAAGAAGGCCUUCGGGUUGUAAAGCCCUUUUGUUGGGAAAGAAAAGCAGCAGGUUAAUACCCCGCUGUUCUGACGGUACCCAAAGAAUAAGCACCAGCUAACUUCGUG